rnacentral:rRNA from 1 species
GACGAACGCUGGCGGCGUGCUUAAUACAUGCAAGUCGAACGAAGUGGCGAACGGGUGAGUAAUACGUGAGUAACCUGCCCUCCUUUUUGGGAUAAGCCUUGGAAACGGGGUCUAAUACCGAAUAAAGGGGGAUGGGCUUGCGGGCUAUCAGCUCGUUGGUUGGGUGAUGGCCUACCAAGGCGGUGACGGGUAGCAGGCCUGAGAGGGUGACCGGCCACAUGAGGACUGGGAUACGGCCCAGACUGCUACGGGAGGCAGCAGUGGGGGAUAUUGCACAAUUGGCGGAAGCCUGAUGCAGCGAUGCCGCGUGAGGGAUUACGGAUUUCGGGUUGUAAACCUCUUACGCUAUCGAACGGGUAGGUGAAGAAGAAGCGCCGGCUAACUACGUGCCAGCCGCCGCGGUAAUUC